rnacentral:rRNA from 1 species
CGCGGCCUAUCAGCUUGUUGGUAAGGUAAUGGCUCACCAAGGCGUCGACGGGUAGCCGGCCUGAGAGGGUGACCGGCCACACUGGGACUGAGACACGGCCCAGACUCCUACGGGAGGCAGCAGUGGGGAAUAUUGCACAAUGGGCGGAAGCCUGAUGCAGCAACGCCGCGUGAGGGAUGACGGCCUUCGGGUUGUAAACCUCUUUUAGCAGGGAAGAAGCGAAAGUGACGGUACCUGCAGAAAAAGCGCCGGCUAACUACGUGCCAGCAGCCGCGGUAAUACGUAGGGCGCAAGCGUUAUCCGGAAUUAUUGGGCGUAAAGAGCUCGUAGGCGGUUUGUCGCGUCUGCUGUGAAAACCCGAGGCUCAACCUCGGGCCUGCAGUGGGUACGGGCAGACUAGAGUGCGGUAGGGGAGAUUGGAAUUCCUGGUGUAGCGGUGGAAUGCGCAGAUAUCAGGAGGAACACCGAUGGCGAAGGCAGAUCUCUGGGCCGUAACUGACGCUGAGGAGCGAAAGGGUGGGGAGCAAACAGGCUUAGAUACCCUGGUAGUCCACCCCGUAAACGUUGGGAACUAGUUGUGGGGUCCAUUCCACGGAUUCCGUGACGCAGCUAACGCAUUAAGUUCCCCGCCUGGGGAGUACGG